UACGUAGGUGGCAAGCGUUGUCCGGAUUUAUUGGGUUUAAAGGGUGCGUAGGUGGUUGGUUAAGUCCGUGGUGAAAGACGAUCGCUCAACGAUUGCAGUGCCAUGGAUACUGACCGACUUGAAUGACGUUGAGGUGGGCGGAAUUGACCGUGUAGCGGUGAAAUGCUUAGAUAUGGUCAAGAACCCCAAUUGCGUAGGCAGCUCACUGGACGUCUAUUGACACUGAGGCACGAGAGUGCGGGGAUCAAACAGG
rnacentral:rRNA from 1 species